rnacentral:rRNA from 1 species
UGCGAAGGGGACUAGCGUUGUUCGGAAUUACUGGGCGUAAAGCGCACGUAGGCGGAUUUAUUAGUCAGGGGUGAAAUCCCGGGGCUCAACCUCGGAACUGCCUUUGAUACUGCAAGUCUCGAGUCCGAUAGAGGUGGGUGGAAUUCCUAGUGUAGAGGUGAAAUUCGUAGGUAUUAGGAAGAACACCGGAGGCGAAGGCGGCUCACUGGGGCUUUUCUGACGCUGAGGAACGAAAGCCAGGGGAGCAAACGGG